GUGCUCUCAUGUGCAGCAUAUACACUAAAAUUAGAACAAUAUUGAGAAGAUGAGCAUGGCCUCUGAACAAGGAUGAAUACAAAUUUGUGAAGCAUUCUACAGUUUU
rnacentral:snRNA from 1 species